ACGUGACUUAUCCGAGAGCGAUUACACAUGGCUGACAGUAGCACAAACAACACGGAGCUGUCUGCUGCGGGGAUAUAUAUCUAGGUCAUUCUGUCAGAGGUCAACACAAUUAAGGUGAAUUCCUUAAGUGUUUUGCUGAUUCUACACUUAUCUUCACCAAACUCCAUCAUGUGAUAGUGUUUGUAAGAUGUCAUGUGACAAUUAUUCAGACCAAACAGGAGGAAGGUGUGUCUUAGACAGGAAAUAGGACACUGGACCAAUCAGGAGGAAGGUGUGUCUAAGACAGGAAAUAGGACCCUGGACCAAUCAGAAUGCCCCCAUCUGUUCAUCCUUUUCACUCAUACUGAUGCCAGUGUUCUUUCAUUCCUUCUCUCUCGCUUUACCUCCCACCCCCUGAGGCCUUGACAACACAACAAGAUGACCACCGCCGACAUAGAUCACUUAAGGACACAAAUGCCUUUCCAAGUCCGGAGCUCCAAGUUCCGCCAUGUUUUCGGGCGAGCCCAUCGUAAAGAGCAGUGCUAUGAAAACAUCAAAAUCACACGUAAUGCCCACGACAGUAACUUCUGUGCCGUCAACCCCAAAUUCAUUGCCGUUGUUGUUGAAUCAUCAGGAGGAGGGUCGUUUUUGUGUAUUCCUCUACAUCAGACGGGAAGAGUGGACGUCAAUGCCCCUCGAAUCUCUGGGCAUGCUGGCAAGGUGUUAGAUAUCAAAUGGAGUCCCUUCAGCGACUACAUGAUUGCUUCCUGCUCCGAUGAUAACACAGUGAAGGUGUGGCAAUUACCAGAAAACGGCCUCAAAGGAAACCUAACUGAGUGGGUAGUGGAUCUCCAUGGACACAGUCGCCGGGCAACCUACAUUGAUUGGCACCCAACUGCAGAAAAUGUUCUCCUCAGUGCAGGAAUGGACUUCAAAUGUAUUUUAUGGAACAUUGAGCAAGCAGAACCUAUCAACAUAAUAGACUGUCACAAGGAUACAGUUUUCUCCAUGUCCUGGAACCGAGAGGGCAGUCUGUUCGCCUCCACUUGUAAAGAUCGUAACCUUCGUAUCAUUGAUCCCAGAAUCAGUUCUGUAGCCAUGGAGACACAGGGACAUGUGGGCAACAAGGCGUCUAAAGUGGCGUUUGUCAGCAGCCAGAACAAGCUCAUCACAACAGGCUUCGACAGAAUGUCCACACGCCAGCUGGCAUUAUGGGAUGUCAAAAAUCUUCGAAAGCCAAUCAACAUGAUCGAGAUGGACAGUUCUAGUGGUGUGGUCCUGCCUUUCUACGACUAUGACUCCAAGGUUGUCUAUACCGCUGGCAAGGGUGAUGGAAACAUUCGCUAUUUUGAAAUCACUGAUGACUCGGAGGGGAUUCACUACCUGAACCAGUUUCAGUCCCCAUUUCCACAAAGAGGUUUUGGUGUGAUGCCAAAGCGAGGUUGUGAUACCAGUAAAUGUGAAGUAAUGAGGUUUUACAAGCUUCUGGCUGCUAAAGACAUCAUAGAACCAAUAUCUAUGAUUGUUCCUCGGAAGUCAGAUAAAUUCCAUGAUGACAUCUACCCUCCGACCCCGAGUAUGAUCCCUUCCUUGUCAGCAGAUGAGUGGAUAUCGGGACAGAACCGGGAACCUAUCCUCAUGUCUCUCUUGGAUGGUAGUGUAACAAACUCCCCAAAGUGCACGUCCGCAAAUGCAGUUCAGAAACAGGAUGGUUCAUUGGCCCAAACCCCUACAAUAACGACAUACAAAGCGCUGAGUCCACCACAACUUGAUCGUCCUGUACCCUUCCCAACAACAGCCCCAGGCCAGAUGGGGAAACAGACGGGCCAACCAAGGCAACAACGUACAGAACCAGCCUCACUCAAGAACAUUAAACGCCUCAGUUCCAAUGAGGACUAUAUAACAUUGAGUGACCAGAGCUUAGACAGGAGGGUCAAGCCAUUAGAUCUGGACAAGUCACAUUCCACUGAACAGAGUCAAGUCUCGAGGACAGCGGUCAAGAAAACCUGGACACCAACAUCUCCCGCCGGGAAUGAUCCACCAACCAACGGGUUCACUGGACCAGAUAACAACAGUGAUAUGUCAACAAAUUCAUCAAAACAAGAUUGGGGACCAAACAUUAAUUCCUCCUCAAAUCACAGCAAUCAUAAUUGUCCCCCUUUAAUGAAACAUUUGAACAAUAAGCCCUCCCCCAGCACACAGUCUGUGGAUCUGUUACUAGGAUACAAGCCUCAACUGCCAGAGGACCAGCAUCAUAAAGUUCACAUCAAGAAAGUAUGGGCUUCCUCUCCGAGCCCUAACACUUUACCCACAAUGCACCUGUGGCAGGAAGUGUCAUUGAAUGAAUCUGAGUUAAGGAAAGCCUACUUCAGUCAGAUGGAGGAAAUCAAAAGUCUUAAAGAACAGAUAACUCUAAAAGACAAGCGUAUUCGGUUGCUUGAAGAGGAGAUUGCAACUAUGAAGAAACCUCGCUGUGGUCCGGGUGAAAGUGAUUGCUGACACGAUACCUCUGGAUCUGAUACACUGUCAGGUAGUAGUGUGAUGAGAACACUACUGGCAAACUUGAUUUUAUAUAACAAUGGCCCAUCAUUGUGAAUGAUGGAAAUCCAGAAUCCUUGUGCUGAUAAAAGCUGUGUUCAUAGCCUGGGAGAUUAGAACAGUAAAACCAAGCCUGGGAGAUUAGAACAGUAAAGCCAAGCCUGGGAGAUUAGAACAGUAAAACCAAGCCUGGGAGAUUAAAUCAGUAAAAACAAGCAUGGGAGAUUAGAACAGUAAAACCAAGCAUGGGAGAUUAGAACAGUAAAACCAAGCCUGGGAGAUUAGAACCAGAAGACCAAGCCUGGGAGAUUAGAACAGUAAAACCAAGCCUGGGAGAUUAGAACAAUAAAACCAAGCCUGGGAGAUUAGAACAGUAAAACCAUAUACAACACAUUUGAUUAGACCAACUGUUCUUUUCUGAAGUCCUUUCCUCUCUAAUAUCCAUUCCUUCCUCAAAUCCUCUACAUCCUCCUUUCCCCCUCCCCUUGUAUCAUCUCCUCCCUCAAAUCCUCUAUAUCCUCAUUUCUCCCUCCCCUCAUAACCUCUCCUCUCUCGUAUCAUCUCCUCCCUCAUAUCAUCUCCUACCUCAAAUCCUCUGCAUCCUCAUUUCCCCCUCCCCUCGUAAGCUCUUGUAUCAUCUCCUCCCUCAUAUCCUCUACAUCCUCAUUUCCCCCUCCCCUUGUAAGCUCUUGUAUCAUCUCCUCCCUCAAAUCCUCUACAUCCUCAUUUCCCCCUCCCCUUGUCAGCUCUUGUAUCAUCUCCUACCUCAAAUCCUCUGCAUCCUCAUUUCCCCCUCCCCUUGUAAGCUCUUGUAUCAUGUCCUCCCUCAUAUCCUCUACAUCCUCAUUUCCCCUCCCCUCCCCUUGUAAGCUCUUGUAUCAUCUCCUCCCUCAAAUCCUCUACAUCCUCAUUUCCCCUUCCCCUCGUAAGCUCUCGUAUCAUCUCCUCCCUCAAAUCCUCAUUUCCCCCUCCCCUAUUAAGCUCUCGUAUCAUCUCCUCCCUCAAAUCCUCUACAUCCUCUUUUCCUUCUCCCCUCGUAAGCUCUCUUAUCAUCUCCUCCCUCAAAUCCUCUACAUCCUCAUUUCCCCCUCCCCUCGUAAGCUUUCCUUUAACGGUUGUUGUAAUCACCUGGCAGUAGUAAGUCAUCCCUGACAUCAGGUCCUUAACACACAUGUCCCACUCAAUGCUUUCCUGUAUAGCAUCAUUAUCACACCAACAUAAUAUAACAUGAAUGGGACAUUUUUUCUGUCAAUUUCUUAACUGCAAAGUGCAAGUAAAAAUACACGCUAACAUAAGAGUGAAAUAUAUAAUGAUAUUCCACAGAGCCACACUUAAAUGAAAACUUCUACCGGUACUAUAUUUCAUAAAUCUCAGAUGAAUUUGAUUUAAGAUCCUAUGUAUUAUACUGCCACUAGUGAAGAUAUUACACUUUUGUGAUUUUGAAAAUUAUAUAUAAAGGGAACCAGGCUGGGGUGGGGGUUGAUUUUUAUCAUACCGAGUUGUGAUUUCCUGGUAUCAAUGUAAGUAAUGUAUGUUUAGCUAUAUUAGGUAUUGUGUAUGUGUGACACACUUAUCAAAUGACAAGUCAAAUACACAGGUCGCCAUUCUUAGAGAAACUAUUGAAAAGUUUCUGUUUGUGAAAUCCUCUGAUCGUCAGUAUUUCAUUAUUAUAUAUUGCAAGAUGCCUGUAAUAUUUGAGCUGUGUGUUUAUAAAAUUCUAUAAUAACUAGAAAAUAUCAAUAUAGUUGUCAUGCCUUAUAUUCUGGUUGUUCAAGUUCAAAGCUUUUACAGAAAAAAUGCAAUAAUCUGUUCAUAAUUUAAAAAAAACAUUUUAAGCAUGUUAUAAAUAAUCGUGUAGAUUUGUGUAAGUUUUAUAGAAUUAUUUUGUGUAUAAAAGUGUAAUAGUGCUGUUUACAUGUUUAUACACUGUUAUAUGGUUGCUUGUGUGUGUGUGAUUUUAUAAUUAUGUGUAAUAUAUUCUGUGGUAUAUUACACCUGUGUGCAUUGUGUAAAAUAUAAUACAAUGUCUGACGUAGGACUUAGUAGUAGGUCGUCAGGAACAUGUGUAGUAUAGCAACAAUCUCAAACAUCAUGCAGUUUUAUAUGUGUGUAUUUUGUAAGUGCCAAUGGAGUAUGUGUAUACAUGUUGUGUACAAGUAUGUACAUGAUGUAAUCAAAGUCUACUUUCGUUCUCAAGCUUUUUAUCGUGAACAACUUGUACUGUAACUUUGAAAACUCUUUUUGACCAAGAAUGAUUUACUGGAGAAAAUAUUUAAUACACUUGAUUUUUUGGGGACCAAAGAAUAUGUAGAUACAAGUAUGGCUGGACACGAGUCUAGUGAGACAGACAGAUAACAUUUGAUCGACUUGAUGGGGUCCUGAUAAAGAAUGAGGUUGACAGUGAUAACAUUUGAUCGACUUGAUGGGGUCCUGAUAAAUAGUGAGGUUGACAGUGAUAACAUUUGAUCGACUUGAUGGUGUCCUGAUAAAGAGCGAGGUUGACAGUAAGGAUUGCACAUUGUUUGAUUACAGAUAAAUACGGUUUAUUUUAAAUAAAGUUAUAGAUCUGAUUACAAAAUAUAUAUAUUUCAAUAUUUAUUUUAUUAAUGUUUGUUCCUUAAAUGCAUGCAAUUUAUAGAGAAUUUUAACCUGUUUUAUUAAAUUAACUUAAGGACUAACCUUUCUGUUUUACUUUUGAUUUAUUCUAAUUUUAUUGAGGCUUGAAAUUGUUUAAAAUUUUGUCAACAUUUGUAUAAUGUUUUUAGACCGCUUUAUUUUAUGCAUUGGGUGACACCAAAAACAGGUUGCUAUGGUGAUGUUCCCGACAUGUUACUUACCUGUGUCCCAGCUGUUGUAACAGUCGUACACAUACUGGGUGUCCUGUACAAGGAUACCCCUAAUUCAGUUUCCCCGAGUUUUGGAGAUUAUUUACAAAAUAUCAAACUGAUCAUACAAUAUGACAUGGGAAGUACUUCCUUCCAGAAAAAUCCACUCUUUACUCUUUCUAUUGAAUCUGAAAAUAUUUUCUAACCACAACUAAAAAAUAUUUUUGUCGAAAAUGUCAUUUGUAUCACAUGUGAAUUUGUUGACAUCAUGUGUUGUUUCUAGAGCCAUAGGUAAAGUAUUAUUACAGUUAUGACUCAUUAAGUGAAAUAGCUCAUCAACAAAAGUAUCCCAUCACCAAGUGUCCCGUUACUUUGUAUCAGUUUUAUAUAUUGAUCACUAUGUUCACUAGCAGUAGAUCCGUUUGUUGGUGUAGAAUUGAGCUAAUAUAUCAAUGGUGAAACAUUUAUCUUCAAAAUGUAUGCAUGAGUUUUGGCUUUACUUACAAGUGUUUCUACUAUUUUCCCUUAAAUGCUGAAAGCCCUCUAACAUCUAGGCUCAUCUCCAAAGUAAUUGAUCAAUUAUGGUAAAUUCCCUGUUAAGAAUUCAUUGUAUUGUUGAUUAUAUUUAAUUAAAUUGUUGCAUGCACAUGUAAGAUCUUGCCUCUUUUGGAAUUUCACAAAAAUUGACUGGGUUGUAGUGUUGUGACGUAUUCUGCCUAGUCGCUAACUUUUUGUGGUUGUAGGUUAUGUUUAUGAAAGGUUAGUGAUCUGUAAGUGAGAGUAUUUUCAGCUGUACCUAUUCCACUUACAUGAGCCAUGGAUGGUUAGUGAUCUGUAAGUGAGAGUAUUUUCAGCUGUACCUGUUCCACUUACAUGUAUGCUAGGUAAACCAUUCCAGUUCUCGUCCUGUUGAGCUGAAGAGAAAUUUGAUCUGAGUCGGGAACAAUUAAGAUAUUCAGACCUAAACAACCCAUAAUCUCUGUAUAAUAAUACCCAUUAAAAACAUUCAAUGAGAUAAGCACCAACACAAGAUUUUGUGAUUAUUAUUGCCACUUUGUAUUCCUGAACUUAACACUGUCAGCAGUAAGUAUGUUAAGUUAAUAAAAACUUCGAUAAUGAAAUACA